rnacentral:rRNA from 1 species
GUGGGAAAUCUGCCGAGUAGCGGGGGACAACGUUUGGAAACGAACGCUAAUACCGCAUAACAAUGAGAAUCGCAUGAUUCUGAUUUAAAAGAAGCAACUGCUUCACUACUUGAUGAUCCCGCGUUGUAUUAGCUAGUUGGUAGUGUAAAGGACUACCAAGGCGAUGAUACAUAGCCGGCCUGAGAGGGUGAACGGCCACACUGGGACUGAGACACGGCCCAGACUCCUACGGGAGGCAGCAGUAGGGAAUCUUCGGCAAUGGGGGCAACCCUGACCGAGCAACGCCGCGUGAGUGAAGAAGGUUUUCGGAUCGUAAAACUCUGUUGUUAGAGAAGAACGUUAAGUAGAGUGGAAAGUUACUUAAGUGACGGUAUCUAACCAGAAAGGGACGGCUAACUACGUGCCAGCAGCCGCGGUAAUACGUAGGUCCCGAGCGUUGUCCGGAUUUAUUGGGCGUAAAGCGAGCGCAGGUGGUUCCUUAAGUCUGAUGUAAAAGGCAGUGGCUCAACCAUUGUGUGCAUUGGAAACUGGGGAACUUGAGUGCAGGAGAGGGGAGUGGAAUUCCAUGUGUAGCGGUGAAAUGCGUAGAUAUAUGGAGGAACACCGGA